AGCGAACGCUGGCGGCAGGCCUAACACAUGCAAGUCGAACGAAGCCUUCGGUCUUAGUGGCGGACGGGUGAGUAACACGUGGGAACGUACCUUUAGGUUCGGAACAACUCAGGGAAACUUGAGCUAAUACCGGAUAAGCCCUUCGGGGGAAAGAUUUAUCGCCUUUAGAGCGGCCCGCGUUAGAUUAGCUAGUUGGUGAGGUAAAGGCUCACCAAGGCUACGAUCUAUAGCUGGUCUGAGAGGAUGAUCAGCCACACUGGGACUGAGACACGGCCCAGACUCCUACGGGAGGCAGCAGUGGGGAAUCUUGCGCAAUGGGCGAAAGCCUGACGCAGCCAUGCCGCGUGAAUGAUGAAGGUCUUAGGAUUGUAAAAUUCUUUUACCAGGGACGAUAAUGACGGUACCUGGAGAAAAAGCCCCGGCUAACUUCGUGCCAGCAGCCGCCGUAA
rnacentral:rRNA from 1 species